AUUGAACGCUGGCGGCAGGCCUAACACAUGCAAGUCGAGCGGGUGAAGGGAGCUUGCUCCUGGAUUCAGCGGCGGACGGGUGAGUAAUGCCUAGGAAUCUGCCUGGUAGUGGGGGAUAACGUCCGGAAACGGGCGCUAAUACCGCAUACGUCCUGAGGGAGAAAGUGGGGGAUCUUCGGACCUCACGCUAUCAGAUGAGCCUAGGUCGGAUCAGCUAGUUGGUGGGGUAAAGGCCUACCAAGGCGACGAUCCGUAACUGGUCUGAGAGGAUGAUCAGUCACACUGGAACUGAGACACGGUCCAGACUCCUACGGGAGGCAGCAGUGGGGAAUAUUGGACAAUGGGCGAAAGCCUGAUCCAGCCAUGCCGCGUGUGUGAAGAAGGUCUUCGGAUUGUAAAGCACUUUAAGUUGGGAGGAAGGGCAGUAAGUUAAUACCUUGCUGUUUUGACGUUACCAACAGAAUAAGCACCGGCUAACUUCGUG
rnacentral:rRNA from 1 species